GUCGUUUGGGGAAGAAAUGGGAAGAGGAGGAAUUUACUUACAUUUCUCGCUGCCACACUUGGAGAAAACCGUGGCUUCGGGCGCUCCCAGCUGCGUUUCCUGGGACAGAAACUCGUCUUCCUGAAGGAGGCCGUCGUGAUGCCUCGUGCAGCUCGAGCAAGGCAGUUACUUCACCGUGCCCGUUACAGUGCCGACAUGGGAGCUGGCGCUCCGAGCCUCGUGCCGUUCCGAGCGCUUCUGAGCGCUCCUCCGCGCGCUGGGUGCUGAGCAGGACGUUUGGAGGUGCUUGAGAGGACAAACCUCGAAAGGAACCGAUCGCUGCUGCAAGCACAGCCUAAAACAAAUCCUUUUGGGGGGGAUGUGGGGGUUGUUUCAGAACAAAGAAGGGAUUUUCCAGCUUGUUGGCCGUGCAGAGCGCAGCAGUGGGCUUCCCGGCUGCUUGCCCUCCGCGGUGCUGGGGCUGUCGCCAGGUUUUUUGGAGCUGGGUUUCCACCAAAAUCACCAAAAGGGACGGGUUUUGUCCCGGUUCUGUCCCACGCAGCGCAGCCGGGCGCGUCUCUCCCGGCGGGUGCAGCUCGCGAAUCGAACAAGUUGGGUGUCUUAUCCCGCUGGAAGCGGGGAAAAUGUUUGGAAACGUGACGCCAGCGCUCCCUGAGAGCCUGAAAAAAAACCUCCCGGGGUCAAGCAAAAGCCACCCAACGUGUCUGUGGUUGCACAAACAGCCUCGCGCACAGAGCUCGCGCAGUUCCCGGUUCUGGCAUGCCCGACGCCGGGGUGUUGCACACUCGGGGCUGACGCGGCAGCAGACGGUUAUCCCCCCACCCCCCUUCUCCCACCGUCCUCGCUCCUAAAGUGAAAGCUGGGUGCGUUUUGGACCCGCGCUGCCUCUCGGUGCCCCCUCGCCACCCCCUUUUUUUUAUUGGCACCACGGAUUUCCAGCCCGUGGCGGGCUCCUCGGCUCAGCGCUGGUGCCGCUGGAAAUUCCCGGCUCUUUUGGGUGCGCUGGCACAGCAGAGCCUCCCCUCCCCGCAGCCGGGAGAAGCCAAGAGGGGAAGAGACACUCACGAGGUUUCCUUUCCUGCUCUUUGCCUCCUUUUUUUUUUUUAAACUCUGGCCUGUUUGCCUUUUUUUUUUUCUCCCUCCUUUGCCUUUAACUCUUU